AGUCUUUAAUUUUCUUGCUUUUCUAAUUAUCAGUUCCACCAAAUACACACAAAGAGGUUAUUCACUGCUCCCACUAUUGAGAUUAGUAAAUCUAGUGACCAGACCGGUCAUCUGUUGACAUUCAUAUUACCCCCAUACAGUGCAAUAUUCUACCACCAGGUGCAUUUUCCUGUUAUUUCUUAUUUACUUACUUCUAGGCUAUAUAAUAACAAGUAACAUCAACUACUUCUGUUACCUCAGGACUGUACAAGGAAGUUAGCGUGCAGUUAUCAAGCGAAAUGAAAGUGCAUUAAUAUUUAUUCGGCAGCCUUCGUUUAAGGGUUGCUGAAUAUUGUUCUUGUGAUCUUCUAAGAUCCUGCAUGUGCCAAGUUAUUCCCUGUUCCUUUUGUUCAAAGCUUCUCAGAAGGCCAGAGCUGAUCAUCUGAGAGGCUGGGAAAACUAGGAAGUUUGGUAAACUACUGAACAUACAUCAUGGAAUCAUCUUCGAGGGGAAGAUGGCCUGAUGCUACGCGGGAAAAAUGGCGUGAAGAUCUAAGAGAUAGAGACUUUUGGUUUAAUGGAUACCGCAGAAAGGAUGCAUAUUAUGAUCUGUUCCGUGGACAAAUGUACAGAGGUUUUGUGCAUUGGAAUGUCGGGCUGGGGCACAUGGCAUCAUUCAGACGGGCCAUAUCAGAAACAUUUGCUGCUGCCUAUGGACGCAUCGAUUACGUGGGCGUU